GUGCCAGCCGCCGCGGUAAUACAGAGGUCCCAAGCGUUGUUCGGAUUUACUGGGCGUAAAGGGAGCGUAGGUGGCAGAUUAAGUCUGACGUGAAAGCUCUGAGCUUAACUCAGAAAUGGCGUUAGAUACUAGUUUGCUUGAGGAUUGGAGGGGAGAUUGGAAUUCUCGGUGUAGCAGUGAAAUGCGUAGAUAUCGAGAGGAACACCAGUGGCGAAGGCGAAUCUCUGGACAAUUCCUGACACUGAUGCUCGAAAGCUAGGGGAGCAAACGGGAUUAGAUACCCCAGUAGUCC
rnacentral:rRNA from 1 species